AACGAACGUUGGCGGCGUGGAUUAGGCAUGCAAGUCGCGCGAUUUCCUUCGGGGAAGAGCGGCGGAAGGGAGAGUAACGCGUAGAUACCUACCCUAGGGACUAGAAUAGCGAGGGGAAACUGUCGGUAAUGCAAGAUAACGUCCCUGGAUCAAAGGUGUGAUUCCGCCCGAGGAUGAGACCGCGUCCUAUUAGCUAGUUGGUAGGGUAAUGGCCUACCCAGGCGAUGGUGGGUACUGGGUGUGAGAGCAUGACCCAGCUCACUGGGACUGAGACACUGCCCAGACACCUACGGGUGGCUGCAGUCGAGGAUCUUCGGCAAUGGGCGCAAGCCUGACCGAGCGACGCCGCGUGUGGGAUGAAGGCCUUCGGGUUGUAAACCACUGUCGUAGGGGAGGAAAUGCAUGGGGGUUCUCCUCCAUGUUUGACCUAUCCUAGGAGGAAGUGUGGGCUAAGUUCGUGCCAGCCGCCGCCGUAACAC
rnacentral:rRNA from 1 species